rnacentral:rRNA from 1 species
GUCGAGGGGUAUAGUUCUUCGGAAUUAGAGACCGGCGCACGGGUGCGUAACGCGUAUGCAAUCUACCUUUUGCAGAGGGAUAGCCCAGAGAAAUUUGGAUUAAUACCUCAUAGUAUAGUGAUACCGCAUGGUACUGCUAUUAAAGUCACAACGGCAAAAGAUGAGCAUGCGUCCCAUUAGCUAGUUGGUAAGGUAACGGCUUACCAAGGCUACGAUGGGUAGGGGUCCUGAGAGGGAGAUCCCCCACACUGGUACUGAGACACGGACCAGACUCCUACGGGAGGCAGCAGUGAGGAAUAUUGGACAAUGGGCGCAAGCCUGAUCCAGCCAUGCCGCGUGCAGGAUGACGGUCCUAUGGAUUGUAAACUGCUUUUGUACAGGAAGAAACACUCCCUCGUGAGGGAGCUUGACGGUACUGUAAGAAUAAGGAUCGGCUAACUCCGUGCCAGCAGCCGCGGUAAUACGGAGGAUCCAAGCGUUAUCCGGAAUCAUUGGGUUUAAAGGGUCCGUAGGCGGUUUAGUAAGUCAGUGGUGAAAGCCCAUCGCUCAACGGUGGAACGGCCAUUGAUACUGCUAGACUUGAAUUAUUAGGAAGUAACUAGAAUAUGUAGUGUAGCGGUGAAAUGCUUAGAGAUUACAUGGAAUACCAAUUGCGAAGGCAGGUUACUACUAAUGGAUUGACGCUGAUGG